UUAUUAUAUUUUCCGGUGUUUUAUUUUGAAAGACGUCACAGGAAGUGUGUUUAUAAUUUUUACAGCUUAAUCGUAGGUUCUCACUUCUAUCUCACUGAUUCCCAGUGAGAUAAAUGAAGACAGAUUCUUCUCCUGGGUUCAUGUCAAUAUUUUAUCUGUCAGUGUGAACUAGAAGCAGCUCCACAGAGAUGAAAACAGCCGCAGAGACUCUGAGCGGAGCUAACGAUGCUAACGAUGCUAACAGGCUCCAGCAGCAGCUUCAGAGGAGCUGUGGCUCCUAAACUGGAGCUUCAGGUCCAACAGAGCUGAAUCAAAGCUCUACAACUCUGGUUUAGACGCUAAUAUGCUGAGCUUCCGGUCUGAAGAUCAGCCUCCAUUUUGAGCUGCAGGAUGGAAAUAACUUGCUGACUUGUUACUAGAGGUAAGUGUUGCCGCUCCGGGUCCCUCCGUGUCUCUCGGCUCUCUGGAGCCUUUCUAACCGAUGAACCCACCGAGGCUUCCCGGGGCCUCAGUCACCUCGGCCUGGGUCGCUCGGCUCUCAUAGGGCCUGGUCCCCGCAGCAGCGCUCUGUUUACUUUAUUGAAGGCCUGAUCUAGAAAGGAAUUAGAUCAAAUGAAAAACUUUAU